GCUGUGACUCUGCAUGGCUGGUGUUCAGACUGUGAAGAGCAUUCUGUGUAGAGCAGUUGGGCUUGGGAAGAAUGCCUGCAAAAGUCUUUGGGAAAGCUUUUUUAGAGUGCUGAGUAUCAAUGAGCUGGUGAAUUGUUUUUGAUGAGCUUAUUGCUGCCAAAGGCUUUGACUGUCAUCUGGGACUCAGUGGGACACUAUUGUUGUAUUUCCUUCUGGGUCUCGAUCAAUCAGGGUGGACAGAAGAAGCAAAAAAUGAGAAUGCACAUGCAGAAAUCCAAGAAGCCAGUCAGGUAGUUAAUACAUAACCAGGUUUACACCAAGAAAAGGGAGAGAGCCAAGACAGAACUGUGUAGCUCUGGAUUCCUUCCAGAGAUCUCUGAAAACCAGGAAUGCUUUUGCUGUUCAUUUACACAACUCACCUGGGUUUUUGCCAGAAAAGGAUCAGGCAGAGGAGGGUGUGUGUGUGUUUGUCUUUCCCUCCUCAAUAUGAAAUAAUGUCUUCUUUCCUCUGCCAUUUCCACUGCUUGUGGCCAUGUCUGUUUGCAAAGUUACCAUCUGCCCCAUGGAAUGAGCUUGUCUGAAUCACAAGUUUUCAGGGAUGGGCUGCUGCAGAACACUUAUUUUUGUUUGGCCUUUUGUUGUUGUUAAUUCUUUGCCUUUCAGUGCCUCUGAAGAAAUGUUCUAAAUAUGGCUUUUGUUUUUGUAGUGGCAAUGUCUUGAACUGGCCCCUUCUGAUGCUCAUUUGCAUAUGGCAAUGGAGUACAUUUAAUUUUCCUCUUUAUAGUAGCCUUUAGCAGGGUUGAGUCUGCACUUAAGAACUAAAAGCCCUUUGAAAGUGUUUUAUCAUCAUAGAAAUAAUCCCUAACAUGUCUAGUAA